GUCGUCCCAGUUUGAAGGCGUGCAUCCGAUCAUCGCUUCGAACAAAAUUGUCAUCAGACAAGUUGAACAACUCGUUCAUCAGCUGCUGGACCUCUGUUGGGUAUUUUAAAUGCAAACAGAAAAAAAAAAUCGUAAGCGCACGGAUACCGAUGUAGCUUUCACCUGGGAGUAUUCCAGAGUAUCGAUUUUCCACAGAGAACGUGAGUGUACUAAUUAAGAUCCAAGAUCGCCCAAGGAUAACUAUAUUAUUUUUGGUGGGAAGAGAGGAAGUUUCCUGAGAGUUCUCUAGUUGAUCUAAGAAUCAAGAAUUACUUCAAGAUUAUUUAUAUCGGGACAUCAAAGCUCUAACCACAGAAAGAGAUGAGAAGGGGGCCAGGAAGGUCUGACUACGGUCCUACAAACACCGAUCCGAACGAGGUGGAAUACGUCGACCGUUAGGGCUGUCACUACCCUAAGGCUACCACAACAAUCCGCAGGAUUGGGUGCAAUUCUAGGUAAUUGCAAGACUAAACACCACGUCUAAUCUAUUGAUUACUACUCUAAUGUUUCAAAGAUUAGAGCACUUGAUGCAAGCGAGAAUCCAAUAAAUAACUUGAAUGUAAAUAAAAGUAAUUAAAGAACUCAGGAUUAUGAAUUGAAGAACGUGAAGAACGAUGAAGAACGAACCAGUUGCUGAAAAAGUACAAUAUUGAGGAAGAUCUGACAGAUCCGGCUCCUCCUCCGCUCUCCUCUUCUAUCUCCCUAUUUUCUAGAUUACAACUAGAACUAACUAGAACUAGAACUAGAGGAACUAGAACUAGAACUAGAUCAAGAUGAACUAGAGGUAGAACUAGAAGAACUAGAGGGAUCUUCUCUACUUGGAUGAAGAAUUGAAACCCUAGCUUUGAUUCUGUAGAAAAGGUAUGAUCUCCAGGGGCUGGUGGGGGUCUGUUUAUAUAGUCUAGGAAGAGUAGCCCCCAAGAAAUCUAGGAAGAGUAGCCCCCAAGAAAUCUAGGAAGAGUAGCUCCCAAGGAAUUUCCACGUUAUUCUCCACCAUCCGAUCAAACCGACCUUAAUCGUGUGAUUUUCCUCGAUCCUUAGAGUCGGUGGAGCACGAUCCGCGAAAAGGACUAUGAUUGGGCACUGUAGCAGGGCGGGCGCCCAGGAGAGUAGGGCGGGCGCCCUACCUCCGAGCCCGAUUGCCUUCCCGUUUGUUCCUGUGGCUUCUGGAGUCUUCUAGAUGGUAGAAAAUUACGCGGCACGUUAAUAUCUCUAUGUAAUCCCGACGUGUGGGCCUUUCCUCCAUAUUUCCUGAUAACACCCUGCAGAAAUAGACAAACACCAAAACUCGUGGAAUUCUGUCAGAUAAAACCCUAAGUCUAGGUAUUGGUUCCAUUUAAAUCCUUUUCCAUGAUUAGUUGAUGGUUAAAUGUGAGCAUUAAGGACCGUCAACAAGCUCCCCCAAGCUUAACCUUUGCUCAUCCCUGAGCAAAGAUGGACUCAAGAGUUUCUGCAGUGGUUUUAUGCCUUAAAGAUACACAUGCGUUCAAACAAGAUCUCACCUCUGGGUUAGGGUAAACUGUCAAGAUUUAAACUUACUCAUUUUACCUUCCACCUUGGGGCUUGUAACCGUCACUUGUGUCUUGAGCAGUUAAAAGAUAGAACGGUCUAGUCAAGUGCCAUAUCUCUUAUUCUUCGAUUAACUAUAGCUCUGGAGUUUUUGUAGAUUUUCAAAUAAAACUCAGAGAUUCCUUGUAUGACUCUCUCUAGUCUCUCUUUUGUGGUAUUUCUGGAUCCUUACUAAGGCAGUAAUGGUGUAUGCCUUAUCUCAAAGUAUGUAGUAAUUUUUUGGUAUGAGGCAUAGUGAUAUUGCAUUUUCUCUCAUCCUACUCUAAUAAGGCUUUCGAUAUCUGGAGCUCAUAGGUGGGAGACAGCUAAUACAUACAUACAAGACAUUUAUUGCAUAGUCAAACUAUGGAUCCAGAAGAACAAGUCAAUAAGUCAAAUCAAGAUGUGCAUGUAUAGCGAAUGAAUGGUGUAUGGUGAUGAUGGUGAUAACAAUGGUGAAAGUCUAAUUCUACUUUUGCUCUUUUGAGGGGAUACAUACCUUUCUUGCUGUUUUGAAAUUUUUGGAGAGAAUGAGAUGCUCUGUAUUUUCUUUUUCUUUCCUCUCAGGUGGGUAUUUUGUACCCCUAUUUCUACUGUCGGACACUUGUCCAUUUUUACCUCUCGUCUCACUUUUUUUUCUUUUCUUUCGAGGUUCCGGGCACUUGCCCCUUUUUAUUUCCUCAUAUCUUUUUUUUCUCUCUUUUUUAUAGAGCACUCAUCUCUUGAAAUAAUGUAGCAAGUGGUAGUAACCAAGAUAACUUGAGCAUUUAUUUCACAGGGGAAAAACAAAAAUAUUUUUGGCUAUUCUCUCCCGGAUUAGGAGUACAAUAUUUUUGGAUGGUUCUGGAGAUGGAAAUGGGUGGAUAUAUGUGGAUGCGUAAUUUCGGAGUAGAAGCAGCAUGUGUGAGUGAACGUGCAAGUGAAUCUUGAUUUUAACCACAUGACAAGCUCCUAAGGGUCUACACAGCUUGACCACACUCAAUGCUCAUAAGCAGUAAAAUGUAAAAUGUGUGGCUCAAAGUCUAGCAAACAUGUAUAUAUGGCUGUGGUAGGAAUUUAAACUCUCAUCAUACAGGAACUCAUCAUGUGUUAUUUUAAAUAUUUUCAAAGAUAAAAUUCUCCAGAAUUCUAGCAUCUCUAGGAACAGAUAAAUAGCAGCUCAACCUUCCCAUAUCAUAUCCGUUAACGACUUAGACUUUUGAUCAGGUACUCUUCCUACAAGUUCAGGUUUAGAGCAAAUCUUAAUUAAUAACAGUCAUGCCUAAACUUGAGAGAGAUUUUAAUUUUGAGAACUAGUCAUGGCAGAGCAACUAUUCAUCAUUUCCAUGUGAGAGCUUAUUAUGUGGGUUCAUAGCAAACUUUAUUUAUUUAUUUAUUUAGCAAACUAAGCAAAGAUAUAAACACAAAAUCUUUAUUUGGGUUUUUAUGAUUAUGCAUCUUUUUAUUAUUUGAGUAAAAUAUAAACGCGAGUAGAAACACUUAGCUGGAUAAAUGGGAGUGCUCUCCCCCAAGCUGGAUUUUGACGUAAUUCCUUUUGAUGUAGUAGGUGGCGGAGGUGUAUUUGAAUGUCGGCAGCACCCUGACAGUGAUUAGGAUGUCCUCCGUCUGCUAGUCUUCUUUGAUCCUUGAAUUCUGUGGAGCUCAAAUAGACAACAAAGCUUUGUGGAACUAGUUAAGUGUUAGCAUGAAUAUCUAACCUUUAUCAUGUUGAGCCUCCUCAAUAAAUGUUACGCUCUUUAGUAGGAUCAUAAAUUUAUUUUUAUAUUUUUAUUUUUAUAGGACAGGAAUAUAUUUAUUUCAUUUUUAUACCACCACAGUGAAUGUAUUUAUGGGUUUUAUGCCAUGAGCAUACUCACAUGGGGCUUACUAUUUUUAACAUUUUUAUUUUCUUUUCAAGAUGAUAUGAACCUGAUUAACUAAGCGAAGUAUUUUAAAAUAAUUGAAAGGAAAAAGAUAACUACCAAGUUUACCUCUUGGCAAGGCGUUCGGUGUUUUUAAGUCCUCCGAACAGGACUCUCCAUUUUCUCAGUCGUCCUGGGAUUCGCUGAAUGGCGUAGUCGGUGGUUCCGACGGCGCCUCCUCUGGUUGCGGUUACGUCGUCUUCUUCUUGUCCUGACCUGCUUAGAGUCUUCAACUAUAUGAUUAGGGUCAGUAAAAUAGCAGCGUACCUUCUCAGAGAGGAAGUGCAUGUGGACUUCUCUGGUUCCAAUGUAGAUGAUUGCUUUAACGGAGCUGAGGAACGGUCUUAAAAGAAUGAUGGGUGGAUCGUACUCGUCUUCUCCUAUGUCAAUAACUUCAACCUUCCGAAAUGUUUGAUCUGCCAUCUGGAGCUGGGUGUAUGUCGGUUUUAAGGGCAUGGUUCCGAACAGGAGCUGAUAGGUGACUGGGUCGUCUUUUUUGGUCAGGAACGGUGACUUAAGUCGACGAUCUUGACCUCCUUGAACUGUAGUGACCAUCUUAGCUGACUCGGUCCACAUUUGCUUGUUUCUGUUCCUCCUGUUGGUCCUCUUCCUUGGUUCAUGUGUGGAUUGCUCUGAGAUUUGUGUAAUCUUGUUCUCGAAGGAAAACGUCUCCUUCCUCCCCUUGAUGUAGAAACUGAUCUUGGCAGCAGUAGCGUAAAUGACAGCUCCCGAGGUGUUCAGGAAUGGCCUCCCUAGGAUGAUGGGUGCCCUCUCAUCAAUACCUGUCUCUAUCACCACGAAGUCUGCUUGGGCAUACAAGGUACCAACUCGGACGUAGAGGUUCUUCGAUAUUCCCUUUGGGAAACUUAGUGUCCGAUCUGCAAGCUGCAAAUACAUGGUUGUUUCUCAUAAAGGAUGUGUAAAGAAUUUUUCAUAGAGUACCCUGGGCAUAAUGUUGACACUGGAGCCAAAGUCGCAGAGUGCUUCUAGGAAGUCCACCAUGUCGAUGGAGAUCGGGAUGACAGGGCGUCCUGGAUCGCCUCUCUUGACCGGCAGAAGGUCAGUAAUUACUUCCACAAUGGGGUUACUCCAGUAGUUACGUCCUCAAGCAUCUCAGGGCAGUGAUUGCCUGAGUGUAAAGUAUCUCCAGUGUGUUUGUGCUCGUAGAUCUAGGUUCUUCACUUGGUGGAGUCUGGGAGUUGUAAAAGUUCUUCAUAUUUUGCUCGAAGUGUACGUGCUCAUAGAGACAAGGCAGAGAUCAAAUGCAUGGGCCCUUAAGAUGUUAUCUUACUUGAAGAGUGAUGGUACAGUAUCUCCUUGUGGAAGCUUUCCUUACUUAGCGGUUGUGCAUCGUGUUUGUGGCACCCUCCAUUGAUCAUCUCUUAUGAGCUAUGCCUUCCUUGUGUAAAUUGUUAAACUUCAUGUGCUCUCUCUCUUUGUCUCCAAUGUGAGUAUAUCUCAGGACUUCCUAGGUCAAUAUUGAAAGUUUUCUUGCAGGGGUUAGUCCAACAAAAUAUCCAAUAUCUACUAUAGCAUUCUAUCGGCUCAAAAAUCAACCUAGACACCAUGUGUAAUUUGAUUUAGGAGGGCAUUUUAACCUAAGCAUCAUGCUUAAUUUAAACUCCCUUGGAAGUAAGAUCACCAUUCCUAAACUAAGCACCAUGCUUAAUUAAGAGAUAAAUGAAACUACUCCAAACCUAGACAUACACUAAAGCAAAUAAAGGUAGCAUGAGAGCAUUUAUAGAGAUCUACUCAAGUGGAGAUGAAGUAGUGUGAUUAGUAUUUAACAAAUUGAGCAUGUUUCAAAGGUAGGGACAACCAACAUAGCUACAUGGCAAAGGAUAUUUUUAUGUAAAGUACUCCCCCAAGCUUGAAUUUUGCAAAAUUCAAGUUUGGAUGAAUUUAAUUCAAUGUUGUAUGAUGAUUGGUUGGAAAUACAUCGUGCUUGUCAUUCAUCCGAUCUUCUUGCUUCAAUCCUGGAAAGGUUAGUGACAAGAAUACCCGAAGGGAUAUUUUUACAAUUAUCCUUAUAUGCUCAACACACAAGGUAAUGAUGCAAAUAAUUAAAAGCUCAUGUUAUGAUCUGAUCAGUGCUUGUUUUAGGACACUAAGCUUGUCCUUGGGAAACCAUCAAUUUAUGUCGGCGAAGUGGUUUCCCCUCCAACGCUGACCUAUAUCAAGAUCAACUCAACGAGAUCUGCAAUAUUUAAUAUAGACAUAUGCAUCGACAACCGCCCUUUUAAAGUUUUUAUAAAUAGAAAGGAUGAGGGGGUUGGAGAUCUCAAAUGUGGUGAUGUUGGAAAAACCAAUGGAUUGGGAAGAUGUUGCAUAUGAGCAUGGAGUAAAUGAAGUGGCUAUGAAAUAAAUUCCAUGCUCAUUAAUGCUUAGAGUGAAAUCCAUGUGGUAUGGUGAAAAUGAUAAGGUGAGUGUGGUAAAAAAGGAAAAGAAAAAGGAUACACGGACGACUUGGUUUGAAACUAGCACAGCUACCGUUCCCCGGCAACGGCGCUAGAAAGCUUGUUGGGUAUUUUAAACGCAAACAGAAAAAAAAAAUCCGCAAGCGCACGGAUACCGAUGUAGCUUUCACCCGGGAGUAUUCCAGAGUAUCGAUUUUCCACAGAGAACGUGAGUGUACUAAUUAAGAUCCAAGAUCGCCCAAGGAUAACUAUAUUAUUUUUGGUGGGAAGAGAGGAAGUUUCCUGAGAGUUCUCUAGUUGAUCUAAGAAUCAAGAAUUACUUCAAGAUUAUUUAUAUCGGGACAUCAGAGCACUAACCACAGAAAGAGAUGAGAAGGGGUCUAGGAAGGUCUGACUACGGUCCUACAAACACCGAUCCGAACGAGGUGGAAUACGUCGACCGUUAGGGCUGUCACUACCCUAAGGUUACCACAACAAUCCGCAAUAUUGGGUGCAAUUCCAGGUAAUUGCAAGACCAACACCACGUCUAAUCUAUUAAUUACUACUCUAAUGUUUUAAAGAUUAGAGCACUUGAUGCAAGCGGGAAUCCAAUAAAUAACUUGAAUGUAAAUAAAAGUAAUUAAAGAACUCAGGAUUAUGAAUUGAAGAACCUGGAGAACGAUGAAGAACGAACCAGUUGCUGCAAAAGUACAAUGUUGAGGAAGAUCCGACAGAUCCGGCUCCUCCUCCGCUCUCCUCUUCUCUCUCCCUAUUUUCUAGAUUACAACUAGAACUAACUAGAACUAGAACUAGAACUAGAUCUAGAUGAACUAGAGGUAGAACUAGAAGAACUAGAGGGAUCCUCUCUACUUGGAUGAAGAAUUGAAACCCUAGCUUUGAUUCUGUAGAAGAGGUAUGAUCUCCAGGGGCUGGUGGGGGUCUGUUUAUAUAGUCUAGGAAGAGUAGCCCCCAAGAAAUCUAGGAAGAGUAGCCCCCAAGAAAUCUAGGAAGAGUAGCUCCCAAGGAAUUCCCACGUUAUUCUCCACCAUCCGAUCAAACCGACCUUAAUCGUGUGAUUUUCCUCGAUCCUUAGAGUCGGUGGAGCACGAUCUGUGAAAAGGACUCUGAUUGGGCACUGUAGUAGGGCGGGCGCCUAGGAGAGUAGGGCGGGCGCCCUGCCUCCGAGCCCGAUUGCCUUCCCGUUUGUUCCCGUGGCUUCUGGAGUCUUCUAGACGGUAGAAAAUUGCGCGGCACAUUAAUAUCUCUAUGUAAUCCCGACGUGUGGGCCUUUCCUCCAUAUUUCCUGAUAACCCCCUGCAGAAAUAGACAAACACCAAAACUCAUGGAAUUCUGUUAGAUAAAACCGUAAGUCUAGGUAUUGGUUCCAUUUAAAUCCUUUUCCAUGAUUAGUUGAUGGUUAAAUGUGAGCAUUAAGGACCGUCAACAACCUCCAUCUUUUCCAGACCAUCCGGGCACAUCCUGAUCGGGUCUUGACUUCCCGCAUACUCAUACGCCGAGUGCACCCUCCUCUGGCAGGGCAUCACUCGUCGCACAAGGAAGUUCCCGACCACUCCUGGCCCGUCUAAGCGGGACCAGUUGAUCAGGCUCAUUAGCUCUGCCACUUGACCGCCGUACUCUGGACGAUCUGUCCAGCUGACUCUCUGUUGAUAAUUGGUAACGCAAUUAGAAAAUGAUCCGCAAGCGCACGGAUAUCAGUGAGCAUUUCACCCGGGAGGUCAUCCAGAGUUAUCGUAUUUAUAUUUUUACCACUGGGAGAAAGGGUGCAUCUGACUAACCAAAUCUAUUGCUACUAUCCCUUUAGGCUACAAAGAAUGUCUCUCGAUGUGAGUGAUGUAUAGAGAAGACUGCAACCGUAGUCUCGUUCUAACCUUGGUAAGGAUGAUCUACUGUUCUAUUGGGGAGGCUCACGGAAUCUAGACAACACAAAGGAUGUUCGACCCGCACCUAUAAACCUACCCGUCCUGCUAACGAGAUGUGAUCUGCAAAGGUAACUCGGAAAUGUCACGUUCCUCGCUACUACCACGGUCCAGCUAGUCAGGGGAUAUCUAUGAGUACCCUAGCCUAAACACCACGUUUACGCUAACAAGUGAUUACUCUAAUACUCAACCGGAAGAGGAUUAAAGUAAACUCAUAAACCAAAGAACAAUAAAACAAGAACUUACUAGUAUUAGAAGUCGAAUUACUGAAGAUUCUUAGAAGCAAGCCUCGGGUUAGGAGACUUGAUCCCGUAGGUACAACUCGGAGUAGACACCGACAGGCCGGCCUUCCUCCGAUCCACACCUCCACUCUAUCUCUCUCAAUCUAGUAGAAACUAGAAGAUCUAUUUCUACUUUACAUUGGUUGCUAAGCCUAAAAAGAAAUAUUAUUUAGAGAAGAGGUUUUCCUUCGAGGGCACCCCUCUAUCUCUAUGAUAAUUUCUUGUCUCCUCCAGGGGCCAGAGGGGGUCUCCUUAUAUAGUCCUCCCCUUCUAUGCGUUUUUGGGUCGAUAGGCGAGGUGGUACUAUGUUAUUCUGGAUCCAAUAGGUCGGUGGAACGUCGUGUGCGAAGAGAGUCCGGAACGGAGUCCAGAGAGGGGCGGGCGCCCAGGUCCUCAGGGCGGGCGCCCUGGCCUGGCCCCUUUCGGGCUUCACUUCCUUCCCGUGGCUUCUGGAGUCUUCUAGAUGGUAGAAAAUUGCGCGGUGGGUUGAUAUCUCUAUGUAAUCCUGACAUGUGGGCCUUUCUUCCUUAUUUCCUGAUAACCCCCUGCAGAAAUAGACAAACACCAAAACUCGUGGAAUUCUGUCAGAUAAAACCCUAAGUCUAGAUGUUGAUUUCAUUUGAAUCCUUUUCUUUGUUUAUUUGAUAAUUAAAUUUGAUACUUAAGGACCAUCAACAAACUCCCCCAAGCUUACCUCUUGCUCGUCCCUGAGCAAGGAUGAACUCAAGAGUUUCUGCAGUGGUUUCAUUUCUUAGAAGUACACACGCAUUUAAGCAAGAUCUCAUCUCUGAGUUAGAAUAAACUGUUAAGACUUAAAACUUACUUACUUUACCUACACCAUAGGACUUGUAACCGUCACUUCUGUCUUGAGUGGUUAAAAGAUAGAACAGUCUAGCCAAGUGCCAUGUCUCUUAUUCUUGAUUAGCUAUAGCUCUGGGGUUUUUGCAGAUUUUCAAAUAAAACUCGGAGAUUCCUUAUAUGACUCUCUCAGAUCUCUCUUUUGUGGUAUUUUUGGAUCUUUACCAAGGCAGUGAUGGUAUAUGCCUUCUCUCAAGAUAUGUAGUAUUUGUGGUAUGAAGCAUAGUGACAUUGUCUUCUCUCUCACCCUACUCUAAUAAGGCUUUAAUAUCUGGAGCUCAUAGGUGGGAGAUAAAGUAUACAUACUUACAAGACAUUUAUUGCAUAGUCAAACCAUGGAUCCAAAGAAAUAAAUCAAUAAGCCAAAUCAAGAUGUGCAUGUGUGGCGAAUGAAUGGUGUAUGGUGAUGAUGGUGAUAACAAUGGUGAAAACAAUGGAGGUGGAAGUCUAAUUCUACUUUGCUCUUUGAGGGGAUACAUACCUUCCUUGCUUUUUGAAACUUUAUGAGGAGAAUGAGAUGCUCAUCUUUUUCUUUUCUCUCAGGUGGGUAUCUUGUACCCCUAAUUUCUAAUGUCGGACACUUGUCCAUUUUUACCUCUCGUCUCACUUUUUCUUUUCUUUCGAGGUUCCGAGCACUUGCUCCUUUUUAUUUCCUCGUAUCUCUUUUUUUUCUCUUUUUUUUAGAGCACUCAUUUCCUGAAAUAAUAUAGCAAGUGGUAGUAACCAAGAUAACUCGAGCAUUUAUUUCACAGGGAAUAACAGGGAUAGGAAAAUAUUUUUGGCUAUUCUCUCCCGGAUUAGGAGUAGAAUAAUUUCGGGUAAAUGUGGAGAUGGAAAUGAGUGGAUAUAUGUGGAUGGUACUUCCGGAGUAGAAGUAGCAUGUAUGAGUGAACGUGCAAGUGAAUCUUGAUUUUAACCACAUGACAAGCUCCUAAGGGUCUACACAGCUUGACCACACUCAAUGCUCAUAAGCAGUAAAAAGUAAAUGUGUGGCUCAAAGUCUAGCAAGCAUGUAUAUAUGGCUGUGGUAGGAUUUUAAACUCUCAUCAUACAGGAACUCAUCAUGUGAUAUUUUAAAGAUUUUCAAAGAUAAAAUUCUCCAGAAUUCUAGCAUCUCUAGGAACAGAUAAACAGCAGCUCAACCUUCCCAUAUCGUAUCCGUUAACAACUUAGACUUCAGAUCAAGUUUUCAUCCCACAAGUUUAGGUCUAGAGCAAGCCUUAAAUUAUAACAGUUAUAUCUAAACUUGAGAGAGAACUUCAAAUUUGCAAAUUAGGCAGAGCAACUAUUCAUCAUAUCCAUGCUUAAGUUUUAUUAGAUACAGAUUAGCAUAGCCACUUUAUUUAUUUAUUAAACACACUAAGCAAAAUAUAUAUAAGCAUAAAAUCUUUAUUUGGUUUUUCAUAGUUAUGUGUAUUUAUAUUCUAAUAUAGUAUAAGUAUAAAGAUAGAUAGAAAUACUUAUCGAGAUAAAUGGGGGUGCUCUCCCCCAAGCUGAAUUUUGACGUAAUUUCUCUUGAUGUCGCUAGCAGGUGGCAGAGGUGUGUUUGAAAGUCAGCAAUAUUUUGACAGCGAUUAGAAUGUCCUCCGUCUGCUAGUCUUCUUGAUUCUUAAAUUCUGUGGAGCUCAAAUAGACAACAAAGCUUGUGGUACUGAUUAAGUGUUAGCAUAAAUAUCUAGCCUUUAUUAUCUUGAGACUCCUUAAUAAUUAUUACUCCCUAUUUUUAUAUUUUUGUUUUUAUAAAGUAGAAAAAUAUUUAUUUUAUUUUUAUGCCACCACAGUGAAUGUACUUAUGGGUUUUAUGCCACUCGUCUACUCACAUGGGGCUUAGAGUUUUUUUCACAUUUUUAUUUUCUUUCUAGGAUAAUACGAAUAUGAUUAACUAAGUAAACUAUUUGAAAUAAUUAAAAGGGAAAGGAUAACUACCAAGUUUACCUCUUGGCAAGGCGUUCGGUGUUUUUAAGUUCUCCGAGCGGGACUCUCCAUUUUCUUAAUCGUCCUGGGAUUCGCUGGACGACGUAGUCGGUGAUUCCGGUGGCGCCUCCUCUUCGUGUGUAACUAUAUUCUCUCUCCACACCUGACUCGGUGCUACGGUCUCCUCAGGACAGUUAUGUUCAAGUGGUAUGUCUUCAGUCCUUAUUACUUCUCCUUCGUAGUCUACCCAUCCGUCCUUGAUGAUUUGCCUCCUCUGGUUGCGGUUGCGAUGUCUUCUUCUUGUCCUGACCUGCUUAGAGUCUUCAACUAUAUAGUUAGGGUCAGUAAAACAGCGGCAUACCUUCUCAGAGGAGAAGUGUAUGUGGACUUCUCUGGUUCCAAUAUAGAUGAUGGCUUUGAUAGUACUGAGGAACUGUCUUCCAAGGAUGGUGGGUGGAUCAUAUUCAUCUUCUCCCAUGUCAAUAACUUGAAAGUCAUCUAUAGCGGAAUGUAUAUUGGUUGUAGGGGCAUGGUUUCAUGCAGGAGCUGAUAAGUGACUACGGCCAUUUUGUUGACGUCAGAUCCGGUGUCGUAGAGUGUCUUCUGAAAAGAGUAUAUGUUGUUUGUGCAUUCGAUUCUUGGAACACCAAGGUCGUCCUUCUUGAUCAAGAAAGGUGACUUGAGUCGACGAUCUUGACCUCCUUGAGCUGCAGUGACCAUCUUAGCUGACUCGGUCCACAUUUGCUUGUUCCUGUUCCUCCUGUUGGUCCUCUUCCUUGGUUCAUGUCGGGAUUGCUCUGAAAUUUGUGGUCUUGUUCUUGAAGGAAAGUCUCCUUCUCUCCCUUGAUGUAGAAACUGAUCUUGGCAGCAUUAGCGUAGAUGACAGCUUUGGUGUUUAGGAAUGGCCUCCCUAAGAUGAUGGGUACCCUCUCCUCAGUACCGGUCUCUAUCACCACGAAGUUUGCUGGAGCGUAUAAGGUACCAACUCGGACGCAGAGGUUCUUCAAUAUUUCCUUUGGGAAACUGAGGGUCCGAUCUGCAACCCUGCGCAUAAUGUUGACGCUGGAGCUAAAGUUGCAGAGUGCUUCUGGGAAGUCCACCAUGCCGAUGGAGAUCGGGAUGACGGGACGUCCUAGAUCACCUCUCUGAGUAAUUAGGCCUCUGUUGAUUCCAACCUUGAUGUUGUUGAGGACGGUUGUAGUAAUAGUUG
rnacentral:lncRNA from 1 species